rnacentral:rRNA from 1 species
CGAGCACGCGCGUGUGGCAUAUCAAUAAGCGGAGGAAAAGAAACUAACAAGGAUUCCCUUAGUAACGGCGAGUGAAGCGGGAAGAGCUCAAAUUUGAAAUCUUCAAGGUUCUACCUUGACGAAUUGUAGUUUAUAGAAGUGUUUUCUGUUAGUGGAGUGGCAAAAGUUCUUUGGAAUAGGACAUCAUAGAGGGUGAGAAUCCCGUAUUUGGUCAUUCCUCCUAGCGUUGUGAUACACUUUCAACGAGUCGGAUUGUUUGGGAAUGCAGUCCAAAAUGGGUGGUAAAUUUCAUCUAAAGCUAAAUAUUGGCGAGAGACCGAUAGCGAACUAAGUACCGUGAGGGAAAGAUGAAAAGAACUUUGAAAAGAGAGUUAAACAGUACGUGAAAUUGUCAAAAGGGAAGCGUUUGACACCAGUGUUGUUUUUCCGAAAAUCAAUUACGAAUGUUUUGUUUUUGAGGAGUUAUGACUUCAUCGGCUUGCUCCUUUCUUUACUGAAACUUUCUUAAUGCACUUUUCGGUUAACAAGUCAACAUCAAUUUCUUUUGUUGUAAAAGGGUAUGAGGAAGGUGGCUUUCUUUUCGGAGAAAGUGUUUAUAGCCUUGUAGCCUCUGCAAUCGGAGAGAUUGAGGUCUGCAGCGUAGAUCCUUCGGGGUUAGAUACGUUUGUGCUAAGUUAUAGCUUUUCAUAGACGACUUGUUGACUAUGUUUAGUCUUGUAGCUUACUCGCUGACGCUAUUUUACCUACGCUUAGGAUGUUGAACUCUAUCACACACA